UGCCUUCGGGAACUCUGACACAGGUGCUGCAUGGCUGUCGUCAGCUCGUGUCGUGAGAGUGUUGGUUAAGCCCCGUAACGAGCGCAACCCUUGUCCUUAGUUACCAGCACGUUAUGGUGGGCACUCUAAGGAGACUGCCGGUGACAAACCGGAGGAAGGUGGGGAUGACGUCAAGUCAUCAUGGCCCUUACGGCCUGGGCUACACACGUGCUACAAUGGUCGGUACAAAGGGUUGCCAAGCCGCGAGGUGGAGCUAAUCCCAUAAAACCGAUCGUAGUCCGGAUCGCAGUCUGCAACUCGACUGCGUGAAGUCGGAAUCGCUAGUAAUCGUGAAUCAGAAUGUCACGGUGAAUACGUUCCCGGGCCUU
rnacentral:rRNA from 1 species